GACGAACGCUGGCGGCGUGCCUAAUACAUGCAAGUCGAGCGAUGAAGUUUGGUGCUUGCACCAAUUUGAAGAGCAGCGAACGGGUGAGUAACGCGUGGGGAAUCUGCCUUUGAGCGGGGGACAACAUUUGGAAACGAAUGCUAAUACCGCAUAACAACUUUAAACUUAAGUUUUAAGUUUGAAAGAUGCAAUUGCAUCACUCAAAGAUGUUCCCGCGUUGUAUUAGCUAGUUGGUGAGGUAAAGGCUCACCAAGGCGAUGAUACAUAGCCGACCUGAGAGGGUGAUCGGCCACAUUGGGACUGAGACACGGACCAAACUCCUACGGGAGGCAGCAGUAGGGAAUCUUCGGCAAAGGACGAAAGUGUGACCGAGCAACGACGGGUGAGAGAAGAAGGUUUUCGGAUCGUGAAAGUCAGUAGGUAGAGAAGAACGUAGGUGAGAGUGGAAAGGUCAGCAAAUGACGGUAACUACCCAGAAAGGGACGGCUAACUACGUG
rnacentral:rRNA from 1 species